UCCUCCUCUUGUUUGAGAUGUCAUAGACUCCUCCCUCAGCUUCUGUGUGUUCUCCUCGAGUACCACGGACCUGAAGGUUGUAUCGUGCAGCAACUUCCUCAAGUUUUGCCUUGUUGGCAGCCAGCUUGGGCACCUUAAUAUGGACUGAUGCCCGGACAGUGGUUCCAAGAUUGGUUGGACAGAAGGUGAGAAAUCCAAGCCUGUCGUCGUGAGAAAAUGGAACCCUCUUCUCAAUCUCGUUCACAGCUGUGACCAAUCGCCUGUAGAUCUGUCCAAGAUCACCACCCAUCU
rnacentral:misc_RNA from 1 species